UACGAAGGGUGCAAGCGUUACUCGGAAUUACUGGGCGUAAAGCGUGCGUAGGUGGUUUGUUAAGUCUGUUGUGAAAGCCCCGGGCUCAACCUGGGAAUGGCAAUGGAUACUGGCAGGCUAGAGUCCGGUAGGGGCCCACGGAACUCCUGGUGUAGCGGUGAAAUGCGCAGAUAUCAGGAAGAACACCGGUGGCGAAGGCGGUGGGCUGGGCCGGCACUGACGCUGAGGAGCGAAAGCGUGGGGAGCGAACAGG
rnacentral:rRNA from 1 species